GCGAGAGGGAGGACCUGAAGCAAAGCACAAAAAUAACGUCUCAGUUCGGAUUGUAGUCUGCAACUCGACUACAUGAAGCUGGAAUCGCUAGUAAUCGCAAAUCAGAAUGUUGCGGUGAAUACGUUCCCGGGUCUUGUACACACCGCCCGUCACACCAUGGGAGUUGGUAACGCCCGAAGCCGGUGAGGUAACCGAGAGGAGCCAGCCGUCGAAGGUGAGACCAAUGACUGGGGUGAAGUCGUAACAAGGUAGC
rnacentral:rRNA from 1 species